rnacentral:rRNA from 1 species
AGAGUUUGAUUCUGGCUCAGAACGAACGCUGGCGGCGUGGAUAAGACAUGCAAGUCGAACGAGAGAAUUGCUAGCUUGCUAAUAAUUCUCUAGUGGCGCACGGGUGAGUAACACGUGAGUAACCUGCCCCCGAGAGCGGGAUAGCCCUGGGAAACUGGGAUUAAUACCGCAUAGUAUCGAAAGAUUAAAGCAGCAAUGCGCUUGGGGAUGGGCUCGCGGCCUAUUAGUUAGUUGGUGAGGUAACGGCUCACCAAGGCGAUGACGGGUAGCCGGUCUGAGAGGAUGUCCGGACACACUGGAACUGAGACACGGUCCAGACACCUACGGGUGGCAGCAGUCGAGAAUCAUUCACAAUGGGGGAAACCCUGAUGGUGCGACGCCGCGUGGGGGAAUGAAGGUCUUCGGAUUGUAAACCCCUGUCAUGUGGGAGCAAAUUAAAAGAUAGUACCACAAGAGGAAGAGACGGCUAACUCUGUGCCAGCAGCCGCGGUAAUACAGAGGUCUCAAGCGUUGUUCGGAAUCACUGGGCGUAAAGCGUGCGUAGGCUGUUUCGUAAGUCGUGUGUGAAAGGCGCGGGCUCAACCCGCGGACGGCACAUGAUACUGCGAGACUAGAGUAAUGGAGGGGGAACCGGAAUUCUCGGUGUAGCAGUGAAAUGCGUAGAUAUCGAGAGGAACACUCGUGGCGAAGGCGGGUUCCUGGACAUUAACUGACGCUGAGGCACGAAGGCCAGGGGAGCGAAAGGGAUUAGAUACCCCUGUAGUCCUGGCAGUAAACGGUGCACGCUUGGUGUGCGGGGAAUCGACCCCCUGCGUGCCGGAGCUAACGCGUUAAGCGUGCCGCCUGGGGAGUACGGUCGCAAGAUUAAAACUCAAAGAAAUUGACGGGGACCCGCACAAGCGGUGGAGUAUGUGGCUUAAUUCGAUGCAACGCGAAGAACCUUACCUGGGCUUGACAUGUAAUGAACAACAUGUGAAAGCAUGCGAC